AUUGAACGCUGGCGGCAGGCCUAACACAUGCAAGUCGAGCGGAUGAGGAAAGCUUGCUUUUCGAUUCAGCGGCGGCCGGGUGAGUAAUGCCUAGGAAUCUGCCUGAUAGUGGGGGAUAAUUCGGGGAAACUCGGGCUAAUACCGCCUACGUACUACGGGAGACAGUGGGGGAUCUUCGGACCUCACGCUAACAGAUGAGCCUAGGUCGGAUUAGCUAGUAGGUGAGGUAAUGGCUGACCUAGGCGACGAUCCGUAACUGGUCUGAGAGGAAGAUCAGUCACACUGGAAGUGAGACACGGUCCAGACUCCUGCGGGAGGCAGCAGUGGGGAAUAUUAGAGAAUGGGCGAAAGCCUGAUCCUGCCAUGCCGCGUGUGUGAAGAAGGUCUUCGGAUUGUAAAGCACUUUAAGUUGGGAGGAAGGGUAUUCACCUAAUACGUGGGUACUUUGACGUUACCAACAGAAUAAGCACCGGCUAACUCUGUGCCAGCCGCCGCCGUAACAC
rnacentral:rRNA from 1 species